rnacentral:rRNA from 1 species
UACGUAGGGUGCAAGCGUUGUCCGGAAUUAUUGGGCGUAAAGAGCUCGUAGGCGGCUUGUCGCGUCGGCUGUGAAAACCUGGGGCUCAACCCCGGGCCUGCAGCCGAUACGGGCAAGCUAGAAUUCGGUAGGGGAGACUGGAAUUCCUGGUGUAGCGGUGAAAUGCGCAGAUAUCAGGAGGAACACCGGUGGCGAAGGCGGUUCUCUG